GGAGGGCUAAGGCGGCCGCGAUGGGCCAAACGCCGCCGCCAGGCGACCGUGCGGCGCCCCCUGCCGGGCCCGCCGGGCUCCACCACGGGACCACAUUGAAGAGAUCACCAUAAGCUCUGAUGGCACAUCAGACUCCAGCUCUCUAGCAGCAUGGUAGGCACCCAGUAUGAGGCUCUGCUUUGAAGAUUUCCCUAGAUUGAUGUCCUGCAAGGUAAUCAUAUUAGAGGGAUUCUCCUCUGCAACGUCAGGCGCUGGAAUUGGAUUCAAGUCAUAAUCACUGAACAUACUAGAAACUUAGGCAUGUAUUCCACUGAAUGAAGAUGCAUUUGGGAAAUAUUUAAGGGCCAUUUUGAAAGCAGCUCUGUGGACUAGUUAUCAUUGACAGAUAUAGCAAAGCUGGAUGAGUAGCAAUAGCUGGCAAGCUUCUCCCAACAGCAAACCAAAACCCUUGCAGAUUUGUCAAUACUGUUGGAAUACAAGGCAGCUGGCUCUCAAUCUAUUUGCUGCUAUCUUAUAAAUGUCUACAAAUACAUUACGGAGUCUAUGAAACCCCUGA